GAUGAACGCUGGCGGCGUGCCUAAUACAUGCAAGUCGAGCGAACGGACGAGAAGCUUGCUUCUCUGAUGUUAGCGGCGGACGGGUGAGUAACACGUGGAUAACCUACCUAUAAGACUGGGAUAACUUCGGGAAACCGGAGCUAAUACCGGAUAAUAUUUUGAACCGCAUGGUUCAAAAGUGAAAGACGGUCUUGCUGUCACUUAUAGAUGGAUCCGCGCUGCAUUAGCUAGUUGGUAAGGUAACGGCUUACCAAGGCAACGAUGCAUAGCCGACCUGAGAGGGUGAUCGGCCACACUGGAACUGAGACACGGUCCAGACUCCUACGGGAGGCAGCAGUAGGGAAUCUUCCGCAAUGGGCGAAAGCCUGACGGAGCAACGCCGCGUGAGUGAUGAAGGUCUUCGGAUCGUAAAACUCUGCUAUUAGGGAAGAACAUAUGUGUAAGUAACUGUGCACAUCUUGACGGUACCUAAUCAGAAAGCCACGGCUAACUACGU
rnacentral:rRNA from 1 species